UACGGAGGGGGCUAGCGUUGUUCGGAAUUACUGGGCGUAAAGCGCACGUAGGCGGCUUUGUAAGUUAGAGGUGAAAGCCCAGGGCUCAACCCUGGAAUUGCCUUUAAGACUGCAUCGCUUGAACAUCGGAGAGGUAAGUGGAAUUCCGAGUGUAGAGGUGAAAUUCGUAGAUAUUCGGAAGAACACCAGUGGCGAAGGCGAACU
rnacentral:rRNA from 1 species